CCAAUUAAUUUAACUUGGGAGUCAGAACAUGGGUGAUAAGGUCCGUGUUCGAAAGGGAAACAGCCCAGACCACCAGCUAAGGUCCCAAAAUAUAUGUUAAGUGGAAAAGGAUGUGGCGUUGCCCAGACAACUAGGAUGUUGGCUUAGAAGCAGCCAUCAUUUAAAGAGUGCGUAAUAGCUCACUAGUCGAGUGACACUGCGCCGAAAAUGUACCGGGGCUAAACAUAUUACCGAAGCUGUGGAUUGUCCUUUGGACAAUGGUAGGAGAGCGUUCUAAGGGCGUUGAAGCAUGAUCGUAAGGACAUGUGGAGCGCUUAGAAGUGAGAAUGCCGGUGUGAGUAGCGAAAGACGGGUGAGAAUCCCGUCCACCGAUUGACUAAGGUUUCCAGAGGAAGGCUCGUCCGCUCUGGGUUAGUCGGGUCCUAAGCUGAGGCCGACAGGCGUAGGCGAUGGAUAACAGGUUGAUAUUCCUGUACCACCUAUAAUCGUUUUAAUCGAUGGGGGGACGCAGUAGGAUAGGCGAAGCGUGCGAUUGGAUUGCACGUCUAAGCAGUAAGGCUGAGUAUUAGGCAAAUCCGGUACUCGUUAAGGCUGAGCUGUGAUGGGGAGAAGACAUUGUGUCUUCGAGUCGUUGAUUUCACACUGCCGAGAAAAGCCUCUAGAUAGAAAAUAGGUGCCCGUACCGCAAACCGACACAGGUAGUCAAGAUGAGAAUUCUAAGGUGAGCGAGCGAACUCUCGUUAAGGAACUCGGCAAAAUGACCCCGUAACUUCGGGAGAAGGGGUGCUCUUUAGGGUUAACGCCCAGAAGAGCCGCAGUGAAUAGGCCCAAGCGACUGUUUAUCAAAAACACAGGUCUCUGCU
rnacentral:rRNA from 1 species